UUGCACAUGGGUAGUACAUGGUGACAUAUCAAUUUCUGCCUACCCUGUUUGUCUUUAAUUUGUGCAUUGUAGAAUCACAGUCUGGUUUGGCUUGGAGUAUGAGCAACGUAAGCUGUGAGCCUCAGUUUGUGUCAGGAGGAGACAGAAUCACUCAUAUUUUAUCUUUGAUGUCUUAACUCUUGUCCACCUAAAUUCUUUCCACCUAAAUUCUUCAUGAGAUGCAAAAGUUUUGAAUGAAUUGUCAGGAGAAAUGAAAAAUUAAGUGAGAUUUUUUAUCAUGUUUGCUAGGUUUGCUUGCUUAUCCAAGACUUUUGACUGCAAAAUAUGAAGCUGCAAAUUAAAAACCAGACACAGAUUGCUAAUGGAACACUUCACCAUCUUUUGAUACCUACCUCUGAAGGAUCUGUGGACAAAAGGACAGUUUAAUUUGGCAUCUGCUAAUUUCAUGGCAGCCAAGAAAGCAGUUACUGAAGAGUUGUUCAUAGAGAGUAUUGGUAUAAAAAAUAUCAGGGAAAUUCCAAUUAUUGGAGGAGUUCUGUGUGCCAGUGUACAUAACACUGAUGGAUAUAGGCACCUUGAUCAGCAAGCACCAGAAGAAGUUGCAGACAGCUGAGGGAGCCUCAGUCGGCAGCCCUGGUCCUCAGGGAGGAUUUCAUUCCCUCCAGGUUCUGCUGCAGGGACAGCACAGCAGGGAACACAUCAUCAAGAGUUGCAGGAGGUUUCUGGAGAGCUCUGAUAACAGCUUCCAAAUGCAGAUGUCUGAGGAGCUGCCAACAGGGGACACUGCUGAACCUGACAUGUGGGAACAAGAUGUUGUUUAUUUCUAAUGUUGUUUAUUUCUACAUACAGCAUGGGCUGCAGUAAGACACAAGAAACACGGCUGGGCAUAGCCCCAAUUUCCUUAACCAGUGCAGUAAUGCCAUUGUGCUUUGGGCUUGGAAAUGCUGUUCCAUUGGAUUAAAGUUUACCUUACUCUCCCUCCAUACUGUCAGAAAUGUAGAAAUCUGCUUUAAGUCUUUGAGUCUUGUAGUGUCCUAAGCUUGCUUUGAGAUUUGAGAAUGGCAGCAGAGUGAAUUUUUAUAAUUAGGUAUAAAGAGUGGAGAAAUAUUAAUAAAGAAAUUACCUGCAAAGGAAGGAAAAACAGUUCUAAUGUUUGGCUUCCUAUUAAAGGCUGACUUUCACUGAUUAUUCUGGGCAGUUUCUGCUUUCUCCCCAGCUCUGCCCAAAGCUCUCUGCCUCUUGUAUCUUUGUCUCUGAGUUUGCUUCAUGUCAGUCUAAGUCAAAUGGUCUAAUUAAAACCAAGACUUAUUAACAAUAAAGGGUGUGAAGCAUUGAGAUUGAAACAAAAAAUGGGCGCCAGUCUUUUAUUUUAUUUUUUCUUCCAGGAAAGAAAUUGGUAACAGACCAUUCUGGACUGGUUUAACAAACCAGAUAUGACUUAGGCAUGCAGUGAAACUGUUUCUGUAGAUACUUUUCUGUAUUUCUUUAUUUUACUGCCAUGGGCAUUUGCAUUUUUGUUGCUUGGAAGUGUUAUGUUGCUUAGUGCUCAAAGUCAUAUUCUGUGAUGACAUAGUCAGGUAGCGUGGAAAUUAUCAUGAUUUGACUUCAAUAUUAAAGAACUGGAACAAAAAGGCUGUGAUUAUGUUUUAUAUUUCCUUCUCUGUGAUGAAAAAUGGAGCUCAAACUGUCUAAAUUGGCAUUUUAUCGCUGUUUUUCUUAAAAUAUCAGUGACUUCUAACACUUGAAAAGCAUUCUUCCAGGGUAUGGUAGGCGUGAAACACUUCUUUGAUAGAUAUGAUUACUUGAGAUAUGAAUGCAGAAACAUUUCUGUUCAUCUUAUUGAAUAUGCUUUGAAUUUUGUAACAAUUUAGAAAGCUGAAUUUACAUACAGGAAAGAAAAAAUGGUUAGUGACUACUUUGUCUUGUGUUUGGUGGUACAAUAGUUUUAGAAUUUUUUUUCCUGGCUGUGUGUACUACUUAGAGCAUUUCUUCAUAGUUGCAUAAAAUACCAUUUUAAUCUUAUUAAAAAAAUUAGAAAAUCAAACACUUAAGACCAGAACAAAAAUAUAAAAUUUCCCCUCAAGAUACUUAAAAUAAAAAUAUUUCUGAUUUAUGUGAAGAAGAUGGCUUAUUUCACUUUUUGAAUGUGUUGUGCAUAUCACCAACAAUCUUCUUUCAUUUGCCAAAGCAGGAAAUGUGUUACAGUAUUUUCUGCAACUGAUUAUGCAGUUGUGUAUGGUACUGAGUUUAUUUCCAUCAGAUACUUCAAAGCCUUACUUUUUAGGUCAGGAAAGUAUGCUUCACUUAAAGCUUUGAAGUUUGAAAUAAGCAAAAUGAACAUAAUUUGACUAAAAUUAAUUACUAAUGCAAAGCAGAACUUCUGAUGGCGAGAACAUUGACAAAAGCUGAAAUUGAAUCUGAGAAUUCACGUUCAUCCUUUACCCAAGCAAAGGCUCUGAAAAUCAAUUCCAGAGGUGUAAAGCUUCUGGAGACAUGCUUGCUCCUUGGGCACGUGUGGAUGUACAAUAACUAAUUUUAAUACUGUUUUAUUAGGCUGAAAUUUGGUUUUAACAUGCAAGGAGAAAAUAUUUUGCCAACAAUUUCUGCAGUAAGGACAGGGCAUUGUUUGGCCCUUUGAGUGGACUGGCAGUUUGGUACUUGGGCAGCCAAGUUUUUUUUUUGACAUCCUGUUCGUGAUGUGACUGAUCUUCUGCAUGUUGUUUGAACCAGACAGUUUCCAUGUAAUCCCACAGAAGAAGGAACCUGCCCUGUUUCAGGGUUUUUGGGAGCUGCUGAUGGCUCACUGUUCAGGUGAAGGUUCAUGGGUUGGGGUGUGCUCAGCCCUGUUCAUGCAGCCUGCCCACACUGACCAAAAUGCAUCCCAGAACUUCUCAGGGUCAUAAGGGUGCUGUCAUGUAAUAUAAAAUAUAUAUAAUAUAUAUAUAUAAUAUAAUAUAUAUAAAAUAAAAUAUAUUUUUUUUCCUGUGGGCAGCAGGAUGCAUCUGUCAGGGAUUUGGUGAUUCCCUGCUUUAUUUGGAGGUCAGUCUGUAGCAGCCUGACUGAACCAGCUGCUGAACAAGCUGUGGGAAAUGGGGAAGAGAGGUCAGGGUCUUACUGUUAAGAGGACACUCUUCCCUCCUCUCCUCUUUUACUUUUGAGGACUAGUCCUCACAAAACCAUACCUGCAGACACCCAGAAGGAUCAUCCAGGCAGUGGCUGCUGGGAUCUGCCUCGUAGAGCACGAGGAUGGGGGCUCAGAUCCUGGUUUUGUGAGAUAAGGAGAAUAAGAAUGACAGGAAGAGCUCAAGUGUGACCCCGUGCAUGUUCCUGGUAGUUUACAAUGGAGCUUAGUGGGUAGGAGAGUGUAUUUACAGAAUAGCUGUCAAAAUCCCUGAGUGUAAGCAAGCUGUAAAUAAGUCUAUAAAGUGUAAUCGUUACUGGAGACUUUAAAUCUGCAAUGAGUGAAGGACUUGCUUCAAGUUCAUUCUUGUGUCUGCUUCCUUGCAUGAGAAGUAAACAGAAGGAUAAAUCAGAAAGCUGAGUUUGUACAUAUUUGGGCACAUUGGAAGAGAUAAAAGCACAUUGGAGGAGAAUUGUGUAGUUUCAUUUGUGUUUCCUGGAGCUAGUGACCCGACUGAGCCCUGCAGUGGAGGAACAUCACACCACGCUCCAUCCUGCCCAGGAGAGGGCAGAGGUAAAGCCUGGGAUCAAUCAGUUUGCAAUCAGACUGAUUAUAGAAGGACAAGGAGGAGUACAAGAUCAAGCCAAAAGAACACAGUAGGGCAGGCAUUCAGAAACCCUUGAAGUAAAAGGGUUUCUUGCAGUAGACAGCAAACAGGAACAUUCAGGAGAACUGGUAAAGGAGUCAUUACAUUUUGUUAAGAAUUCAAUCAGGAUUUUCAGUCCCACUUCCACCCUGAGUACAUUUACUGUCCUAACCAUUUCAUCAGCAAUUCUGUGAAAUAUCCAAGAUAAAACUGAAAUGUUUAUAAAACUUUGUGGUUUUUAUGUGCAUAUUGAUAUGGUUUUGUUUAAAGGGAAAGACUCAUGAAUGGAUGCUGUUCUGUUUUUUUAAUCUAAUCUAUAUGGUUUUGUAAUCUAAAUUUCAAAAUUGUGGAAGAGAUGGGUGCUGUCUUCUGAAAUCCUCUUCUGUUUCUGUGACAUUUGUUAAAGCACAGCAAAAUUUUACUGUUUGCUGUUAGGGUCACUGUGGAAAGAUUUAGAAGGUGGGCUUUAAUGAAAGAAAUAAAUAACACAAAAAAAGCCUCGUCAGCAUCCAGCCACUUUAGAACUGAUGGGCACACUCCUGAUGUUCCUCUUUCCCAGCUGAGAGAUUCCACCAGUGAGACCAGAAAGCAAGCACUGAGUCAAAAAUAAAGAGGGAUGUUGAAGUAUCAUUAUAUGUUUCCUAAUCAAUAUUGUCAUUGCAGUUUAGUAUAUCUUUUAGUGGAAAGGGACAUUGUUUUAAAGGUGGAAGAGGUAAAUCCUCAUGAAUAUUUCAUAUAUUUAUUCAUGAAUUAAUUUUGAGGUAGUGGUAGUGAAUUAAAUGUUUAAACCUACCCCCAGUAAUGGUGGCAUUUUAAUUUUAAUGUGAAAAAACCUUAGUAGAGCUAUAUAUUUUUAGAUUCAAUUACCUUGGAAAGUUGGCAGUUCAGUGAGUGAGCGGGUUUUGGGAAGGUUCUCCCACUUCAGUGAGCAAAUCGGGGAGAGUGAGGGAGUUUGAUUCAUGACUUGACUUUGGGGUCAAAUCCAGUAGGCUUAUUUCUUUAGUUAAAUCAUUCACUUUCCCAGGUUAAUUUUAACAUUCUGGGUAGGCUGCUCAGGUUGAGGCUGAAACUGUUCUUUUUAUAAUUGGUUUCUGCAGGAUCUUGCUACUUUGAACUGUCCUGUAUUACACAAAAAUGUCAUACCUUCCUACUCUGCCUAAAAGUGCUCCCUGCUGCAGUCCCUUGUGUCUGACUUUGUAUUUUCUUCUUAAAAAGCAGAAAUGUGGCUUAUUUGGCUGUAUCAUGCAGAGGAUAUUUUAUAGGUGUUUAUUUGAUAGAAAUUUCUGUUCAUUUCUGAGGUAUUAUUGAAAUAGAACUCCUUUGGUAAAAGGAGAACUUAAUAUUGUUUCUCAUUUAAAUUGUGUAUGAAUAAAUGAUUACAAAUUGACA